rnacentral:rRNA from 1 species
GAUCCUGGCUCAGGAUGAACGCUAGCUACAGGCUUAACACAUGCAAGUCGAGGGGCAGCAUGGUCUUAGCUUGCUAAGGCCGAUGGCGACCGGCGCACGGGUGAGUAACACGUAUCCAACCUGCCGAUAACUCGGGGAUAGCCUUUCGAAAGAAAGAUUAAUACCCGAUGGCAUAAUUAGACCGCAUGGUCUUAUUAUUAAAGAAUUUCGGUUAUCGAUGGGGAUGCGUUCCAUUAGGCAGUUGG